rnacentral:tRNA from 1 species
UCCCUAGUGGCUCAGAGGUUAAAGCGUCUGCCUCCAAUGCAGGAGACCCAGGUUCGAUCCCUGGGUCGGGAA